UACGGAAGGCAGCAGUGGGGAAUAUUGCACAAUGGGCGCAAGCCUGAUGCAGCCAUGCCGCGUGUAUGAAGAAGGCCUUCGGGUUGUAAAGUACUUUCAGUCGUGAGGAAGGUGUUAAGGUUAAUAACCUUAGCAAUUGACGUUAGCGACAGAAGAAGCACCGGCUAACUCCGUGCCAGCAGCCGCGGUAAUACGGAGGGUGCGAGCGUUAAUCGGAAUUACUGGGCGUAAAGGGCACGCAGGCGGUUAAUUAAGUUGGAUGUGAAAUCCCCGGGCUUAACCUGGGAAUGGCAUUCAAGACUGGUUAGCUAGAGUCUUGUAGAGGGGGUAGGAAUUCCAUGUGUAGCGGUGAAAUGCGUAGAGAUGUGGAGGAAUACCGGUGGCGAAGGCGGCCCCUGGACAAAGACUGACGCUCAUGUGCGAAAGCGUGGGGAGCAAACAGGGAUUAGAU
rnacentral:rRNA from 1 species